rnacentral:rRNA from 1 species
GACAGAGGUGCCGAGCGUUAGGCGGAAUCACUGGGCUUAAAGCGUGUGUAGGCGGAUGCCUAAGUACCUUGUGAAAUCCCACGGCUCAACCGUGGAACUGCUUGGUAUACUGGGAGUCUUGAGCCACCUAGGGGCGAGCGGAACAAAUGGUGGAGCGGUGAAAUGCGUAGAUAUCAUUUGGAACGCCAACGGAGAAAUCAGCUCGCUGGGGGUGUGCUGACGCUGAGACACGAAAGCCAGGGGAGCGAACGGG